AUUCUACCGUCCUGAGGUCGGUGUAGUGGGAGUUCUUCAUCCCGACUCCCUGUGUCAUGCUCUUAGAAACUUGUCCAGAGCUAUCUUUUCCAUAUGAAUGUGUGAUCUGCUUGUGCUUGAGGUAAAGCCUUGCACCUCAUAACCCUCACCUGAAGGCAGAGAGAAAAUUGCCCCACAUUAGAUCAGCCUCAGUGUGUGAAAUAACUGCUGUAACAUCAGUUUGGAGUCAGCUGGAUAGCGUGGCCAGGCAUAAGGCACAAGCAGCAAUUGACUGCUAGUUACUAUUUAGAAAUAUUUCCAUCAGAUAAGGCUGGAAUUCUUAAAGGGAUUUGGGCACUCGAAAGGUGAUGUUUGAAUUGGGGAAAAAAUAUAAAAUACUUUAAUCUUUGAUGAGCACAGAUUAAUGAAGUUUUGUGACCUAUUUUGUGUUUGAAACCUCAUAUCUUUUGGGUUAAGUUGUUUUGAGAGUCAAAAUAUUUAAAAGUUUGAUUUAAAAAGCUGAAUAGACGAAUAAUCAGUGCUGGUUGUAGCAGUUGGAAACCCCCCUUUCAGCAUUAGUGGUACUGUAUCUUUAUCCAGUAUCUGACUUGUAGUGUGGCGCUUACUUGACAAGGGACGUUUUUUUUGCACUAGCUGCCUGAGGGCUCCAUCAGUUUUCUUCAGGACUGUUUUUCUUUAAUGGUAAUUAGUAUUGUUUAGAAUACCUAUUCUAUUAUCACCUUGUUGGCUCUUGAUUAUGAUGCUGAUUGCGUGUGUAGUUGUGUCUGUGUGCUUGCGUGCAUGUGUGCAUGUGUGUACUCCCCACACGUGUUGCUGAAGAUUGAUCUCGGGGCCUGUACCAUGCUAGGAAUGUGUUCUCCGCCCAGCCCAUAUGGUGAGCUGUCGAGGACAGGUUAGUCUUGCUCUUCUGAGCCCUCCGUUAUGGGCUUCAUCCAUGUUUAGAAUUCUCCAAUGUCAUUUUUAUGGAGGGACAAAGUCUCUCAUGAGGUGGACAAGGAGAAAGGUGAUCGUGGGAAGUGGGAAGAUGUUCAUUUUAUAAAUGCCAGUUUACAGCUCUUAACCUGCUGUGGUGUCUGACUUCUAUACAUGCACGUGUAUGACAUAUGGAAACAAUUUUCCUUGCACUAAAUAUCUAGAAUGUGGUUGGAGCCUUUCUUCUGAGAUAGACACUUUUUUUUAUCUUAUCUUUGCCUAUUCCAUGCGUGUUUUUAUUAGUACAUAUAUUACAUCUGGCAUGUACUGGCUCAGGCAGGAUCACCGGAAUUUCUCACUUUUUGGCAUGUUUCAGGUAUUUACUUUGUCUAUUAACAUUUUUAGUAGUAAAAAUGUAAUAGUGCUUAUUUAAUAGUGCUUUCUCUCCAUAGAGAACUUUUUAUCAGAGGGAUAAAGGAAACUAGAAUGUCAAUUUUUUAAAAAAUAAGUAUUUUAUAUAUGUGAGUACACUGUAGCUGUCUUCAGACACACCAGAAGAGAGCUUCGGAUCCCAUUACAGAUGGUUGUCAGCCACCAUGUGGUUGCUGGGAAUUGAACUCAGGUCCUCUGGAAGAGCAGCCAGUGUUCUUAACCACCGAGCCAUCUCUCCAUUUCAUAGAAUGUCUAUUUUUAAAUAGAUUAUAUUUGUGAAGGAAACCCCCAAAUAUCUAUUAUAUGACAAUUUUCAAAUUUUCCUACUGUGAACC
rnacentral:lncRNA from 1 species